GUGUCUUCAUAGAAGUAUAUAAAUUGGUCUGCAACAGGUGUAGAUCAAUCACCCACCUACUUCUCAAACCACCUUUUGAGUAAUCCAUGAAUGAAUCUAACAGAUAGUCAACAUCGACCAUGAAAUAUAAGAAACUACGAGCGCUACCAACUAAACGUAUUACAAAAAAGAAGGCAGUGCUUAAUCCAAUGAAAAAUAUUAUGAAAACGACUGUUUUGUGCGUAAGGUUAGAAAGCUGUCAUAAACUUUGGUCUUUAAGAAUGGAUUUCAAUUGUGUCAAGUACUUUAAGUUACAUCGAUAUUUCUUAUAGUAUAAGAUGAAGAAAUUACAUAGAAGAAACUCUGAGCGCUACUGAUUCUACUGAAGGAUGUAACAUUCUACAAAUUCCAUGCAAGGUAAAAUGAGGGGCAGGGUCAUUUGUUUCCUUUAUGAUGUAUAUUAGCAUAAAAUUUUAAACCAUAACCACAGAAUAGUUUCCAUGUUUCACCAAACUCGGGAACUACAUCUUCACAUUUGGUCAGCACAAAAUCAAGCCUAGCAAGUCUGGGUGCUGCAUGCUGUUCACCUUCCUUAAUUCCCAUCACAAACCCAAGAAAAGAAAAUCUCAAGAAAUAGUCCAGGCUACCUUGUUGCAGCCACCAAAUUCGAAUAAAGUUUCAGAUUAAUCUCCCAUAAUUCUCCAAAUUUCACAGGCAUCAGCACAACAAAACUGAACAACGGAAAAAAAAAGGCAGAGAUAAAGAGCUUUGAGAGAUACCGCGAAAACGAUGCCAAAAGCCCACAAAUACUGAACAAGGAAACCGAGAACAUCCCACUUAGGACCUUCCCAUAAAUCCGGCUGAAGGCCCGGAAGAUCCGGGAACGGCUUACCAUCAGCCGAAAUCUCAGACGAACUCCCACCAACGUCCUCUAAUCCAACUCCAACAGCAAUGUUUGAUUCUUCAAUCUCCCCCGUCCGUUUGAGCUCCUGUUCCUCGUCUUGUUCUUUUGUCGUGAGAU